AGUGAACGCUGGCGGUAGGCCCAACACAUGCAAGUCGAACGGCAGCACAGUAAGAGCUUGCUCUUACGGGUGGCGAGUGGCGGACGGGUGAGGAAUACAUCGGAAUCUACCUUUUCGUGGGGGAUAACGUAGGGAAACUUACGCUAAUACCGCAUACGACCUACGGGUGAAAGCAGGGGAUCUUCGGACCUUGCGCGAUUGAAUGAGCCGAUGUCGGAUUAGCUAGUUGGCGGGGUAAAGGCCCACCAAGGCGACGAUCCGUAGCUGGUCUGAGAGGAUGAUCAGCCACACUGGAACUGAGACACGGUCCAGACUCCUACGGGAGGCAGCAGUGGGGAAUAUUGGACAAUGGGCGCAAGCCUGAUCCAGCCAUACCGCGUGGGUGAAGAAGGCCUUCGGGUUGUAAAGCCCUUUUGUUGGGAAAGAAAAGCAGCAGGUUAAUACCCCGCUGUUCUGACGGUACCCAAAGAAUAAGCACCGGCUAACUUCGUG
rnacentral:rRNA from 1 species